GAUUAACGCUGGCGGCGUGCAUAACACAUGCAAGUCGAACGAUGAAACUUUAAUGAACCCUUCGGGGAGAAUUAAAGCGGAUUAGUGGCGAACGGGUGAGUAACGCGUGAGUAACCUGCCUUACACAAGGGGAUAGCCUUUGGAAACGAAGAAUAAUACCCUAUAAAACCAUAAAAGCACAUGCAAUUAUGGUCAAAGUGAUAGCGGUGUAAGAUGGACUUGCGUCUGAUUAGCUAGUUGGUGAGAUAAAAGCCCACCAAGGCAACGAUCAGUAGCCGGCUUGAGAGAGUGUACGGCCACAUUGGGAAUGAGACACGGCCCAGACUCCUACGGGAGGCAGCAGUGGGGAAUUUUGCACAAUGGGGGAAACCCUGAUGCAGCGACGCCGCGUGAUUGAGAAGGCCUUCGGGUUGUAAAAAUCUUUUGUAUAGGAAGAAAAUGACAGUACUAUACGAAUAAGGUCCGGCUAAUUACGUG
rnacentral:rRNA from 1 species